rnacentral:rRNA from 1 species
UACGGGGGGGGCAAGCGUUGUUCGGAAUUACUGGGCGUAAAGGGCUCGUAGGCGGCCAACUAAGUCAGACGUGAAAUCCCUCGGCUUAACCGGGGAACUGCGUCUGAUACUGGAUGGCUUGAAUCCGGGAGAGGGAUGCGGAAUUCCAGGUGUAGCGGUGAAAUGCGUAGAUAUCUGGAGGAAUACCGGUGGCGAAGGCGGCAUCCUGGACCGGCAUUGACGCUGAGGAGCGAAAGCUAGGGGAGCAAACGGG